AUGGUUAUAGCUUAGUCAAAGCCCUAGAUUGUGAUUCUAGAAACAGAAGUGAAACCCUUCUUAAUCAUC
rnacentral:tRNA from 1 species